rnacentral:sRNA from 1 species
AUCAAUUGUGCUAUUUUUAGGAUGCUAGAGUUAUCGAUGAGUGGGUGGGCCUCCGUCCUUCAAGACAAAAACUCAGAUUUGAGGUAGAAUGUCUGAAAGAUCAACAGAACAGAGCAUUACAUGUACUGCAUAACUACGGUCAUGGUGGACACGGCAUCUCUCUUGGAUGGGGAUCUGGGAUAGAUGCAGCAAAAACUGUGCAGGAUUUGAUUGGCUCGAAUCAUUUUCAAUAUAAAUAACUUAUCGAGACCUAUUGGAGAUGUUCACACGACAAACUAAACAAUGUCAAGGACGCUUAAAAGAACUUCAAUGUUACCAACUAAAUAAAAGCUACAAAUGGAAGAGCUCAGCAAAAGUGCACAAAAUUAUCAUUUAACGUUUAAAAAAACAUAGAUUAUCAACACUUGCUUUAUACUGAGCAUCGGAUUCACCAAAAAUCUAGUUAUUUAUAGAUUUGCCUUCAUGUAUGGAAAUCUUCUGUAGACCUAUAGUAAAAGCAUGCUUUUAUAAACAAAGAAAAUAAAUACAAGAUUGAAGUUAUGAUCGUACACAUGAAUGAA